rnacentral:rRNA from 1 species
GACGAACGCUGGCGGCGUGCCUAAUACAUGCAAGUCGAGCGCAGGAAGCCGUCUGAACCCUUCGGGGGGACGACGGUGGAAUGAGCGGCGGACGGGUGAGUAACACGUAAAGAACCUGCCCAUAGGUCUGGGAUAACCACGAGAAAUCGGGGCUAAUACCGGAUGUGUCAUCGGACCGCAUGGUCCGCUGAUGAAAGGCGCUCCGGCGUCGCCCAUGGAUGGCUUUGCGGUGCAUUAGCUAGUUGGUGGGGUAACGGCCCACCAAGGCGACGAUGCAUAGCCGACCGGAGAGGGUGAUCGGCCACACUGGGACUGAGACACGGCCCAGACUCCUACGGGAGGCAGCAGUAGGGAAUCUUCCACAAUGGACGAAAGUCUGAUGGAGCAACGCCGCGUGAACGAUGAAGGCUUUCGGGUCGUAAAGUUCUGUUGUAAGGGAAGAACAAGUGCCGCAGGCAAUGGCGGCACCUUGACGGUACCUUGCGGGAAAGCCACGGCUAACUACGUGCCAGCCGCCGCCGUAA